rnacentral:rRNA from 1 species
UAUGUAGGGUGCGAGCGUUUGUCCGGAAUUAUUGGGCGUAAAGGGCUCGUAGGCGGUUUGUCGCGUCGGGAGUGAAAACCCAGGGCUUAACCCUGGGCUGGCUUCCGAUACGGGCAGACUAGAGGUAUGCAGGGGAGAACGGAAUUCCUGGUGUAGCGGUGAAAUGCGCAGAUAUCAGGAGGAACACCGGUGGCGAAGGCGGUUCUCUGGGCAUUACCUGACGCUGAGGAGCGAAAGUGUGGGGAGCGAACAGG